rnacentral:rRNA from 1 species
AUCUUGCGCCAUGGGCGAAAGCCUGACGCAGCCAUGCCGCGUGAAUGAUGAAGGUCUUNGGAUUGNANAAUUCUUUCACCGGGGANGAUAAUGACGGUACCCGGAGAAGAAGCCCCGGCUAACUUCGUGCCAGCAGCCGCGGUAAUACGAAGGUGGCUAGCGUUGCUCGGAAUUACUGGGCGUAAAGGGCGCGUAGGCGGACAUUUAAGUCAGGGGUGAAAUCCCAGAGCUUGACUCUGGAACUGCCUUUGAGACUGGGUGUCUUGAGUGUGAGAGAGGUGUGUGGAACUCCGAGUGUAGAGGUGAAAUUCGUAGAUAUUCGGAAGAACACCAGUGGCAAAGGCGACAUACUGGCUCAUUACUGACGCUGAGGCGCGAAAGCGUGGGGAGCAAACA